AGUAGCCAACCUCAUGCUGAUGAGUUGCAUUAACAACGAAACAGAUGUCCAUGAGUGGUUAACUGGCUU
rnacentral:sRNA from 1 species